rnacentral:rRNA from 1 species
UACGAAGGGGGCUAGCGUUGCUCGGAAUGACUGGGCGUAAAGGGCGCGUAGGCGGAUGGUACAGUCAGAUGUGAAAUUCCCGGGCUUAACCUGGGGGCUGCAUUUGAUACGUAUUGUCUUGAGUUCGGAAGAGGGUCGUGGAAUUUCCAGUGUAGAGGUGAAAUUCGUAGAUAUUGGAAAGAACACCGGUGGCGAAGGCGGCGCUCUGGACCGAGGCUGACGCUGAGGCGCGAAAGCGUGGGGAGCAAACAGG